CUUGGUCAUUUAGAGGAAGUAAAAGUCGUAACAAAGGUCUCCGUUGGUGAACCAGCGGAGGGAUCAUUACAGAGUUUAUCUAACUCCCAAACCCAUGUGAACUUACCUUAUGUUGCCUCGGCGGGGGAGCCUACCCGGUGACGCCCUAUAGCGACUCGGGAGCGAGCUACCUUCUAGCACGCUGCUCUAGGCGACCCGCCGGCGGGCGCACAAACUCUUGUUUUUAGUGGAUUAUCUGAGUGUUUAUACUUAAUAAGUUAAAACUUUCAACAACGGAUCUCUUGGUUCUGGCAUCGAUGAAGAACGCAGCGAAAUGCGAUAAGUAAUGUGAAUUGCAGAAUUCAGUGAAUCAUCGAAUCUUUGAACGCACAUUGCGCCCAUUAGUAUUCUAGUGGGCAUGCCUGUUCGAGCGUCAUUUCAACCCUCAAGCCCUAGUUGCUUGGUGUUGGGAGCCUGCCUAUGCGGCAGCUCCUCAAAGCCAUUGGCGGAGUCGCGACGGCCCCAAGCGUAGUAAUUUGUCCUCGCUUCCGGAGUGUCGGCGCUGGCGUCUAGCCGUAAAACCCCUAAUUUUCUAGUGGUUGACCUCGGAUCAGGUAGGAAUACCCGCUGAACUUAAGCAUAUCAAUAAGCGGAGGA
rnacentral:rRNA from 1 species